UACGAAGGGGGCUAGCGUUGUUCGGAAUUACUGGGCGUAAAGCGCACGUAGGCGGAUUUGUAAGUCAGGGGUGAAAUCCCGGGGCUCAACCUCGGAACUGCCUUUGAUACUGCGAGGCUCGAGCACGGAAGUGGUGAGUGGAAUUCCUAGUGUAGAGGUGAAAUUCGUACAUAUUAGGAAGAACACCAGUGGCGAAGGCGGCCCUCUGGUCCGUUGCUGACGCUGAGGUGCGAAAGCGUGGGGAGCAAACAGG
rnacentral:rRNA from 1 species